rnacentral:rRNA from 1 species
UACGUAGGGUGCGAGCGUUGUCCGGAUUUAUUGGGCGUAAAGAGCUCGUAGGCGGUUUGUCGCGUCGGCCGUGAAAUCUCCACGCUUAACGUGGAGCGUGCGGUCGAUACGGGCAGACUUGAGUGCGGUAGGGGAGACUGGAAUUCCUGGUGUAGCGGUGAAAUGCGCAGAUAUCAGGAGGAACACCGGUGGCGAAGGCGGGUCUCUGGGCCGAUACUGACGCUGAGGAGCGAAAGCGUGGGGAGCGAACAGG